ACAUCGCAUCAGUGCGCUCGGACCCCUGCGAGGAUUAGCACAGAGGCGAUGAAUUUGGCUCGGAUUCAUGACAAACAAAAGCUAAAGACAUUUUGGGAGGAGAAGAUAGAGAGACACGAUCAGAUGACUGGGAACGAAGAAGCCAGAAUGAAGAGUAGUGCUUUAUCAAAGUACGUACGCCUGCCACAUCCAACACCGGCUCAGCCUAAAUGACUUUCCGUAGGGAGAAUUGGGUCUUUAUCAAAACGGAUUCUUUGUUUCUGUCACAGGGACUUUUUUUUUUUUUUUUCUCCAAGGCUUAUUAUUGUCUGGCAGGGGUGAUUACCAAGAAAACCCCUGUCUAUUAAAUCCAAAUUGGAGAUUACUGUGAAAAACGACUCGGGGUGGGGGAGCCAUAUGUGCAGUGAAGGAAUACAUUGUCAAGACCGCAACAGAAGAAGGAAAGGGAUGAUUAGAUUUAGCCUUUUUUGAUCAAAAGCAGAUUUUCGGAAGCUUAUUGAUUCCAAUUGAUAUGCAGCUAAAGCCAGCACCAGUUGGUCAGUAUUACGAGGAGACCUUCGUCAGAUUCCACUAGCACCAGUGGAAGGAAGAGGUUACGGAAGGAGUGGAUCCAGAGGCUGCUGAUUCGGAGCCACGGUACGAACGGGAAUACGAACACCUUGGAAAUGAAAAAGGACUGAGGAUAGAAAACUCAAUUCUUCUCGCAUCAUAGAUGUACUCUGUUCACUCGUGUUUGCUUUUAGCCCACUGGAUAUUAAUAAACUAUAAUACAGGCCUAACGUUAAAUUGCGCCUUUGUUCAGAAAGAUGAGGAUGUGGUCAUGUGGGAUUUAGUUUUGCAGCAGGCACAUUCUCAGGAUUUGUUGCCAUUUCAGUCCCCAUGACCUACUGCGGAUAUUUCACAGUCACAUCAAUUUAUAGAUUCGCAUAUUCUGUCAUGUGCAAUACAAAAAAGAAUAAAAAAUUAAUAAAG
ensembl:lncRNA